GCUCAGUGGUCUAGUGGUUAAGUGAUCACGCGGGGGACCGAUAGGUUGUGGGUUCGAAUCCCGCGAGACG
rnacentral:tRNA from 1 species